rnacentral:rRNA from 1 species
UACGUAGGGAGCAAGCGUUAUCCGGAUUUACUGGGUGUAAAGGGCGUGUAGGCGGGACUACAAGUCAGAUGUGAAAAUUAUGGGCUCAACCCAUAACCUGCAUUUGAAACUGUGGUUCUUGAGUGCUGGAGAGGCAAAUGGAACUCCUAGUGUAGCGGUGAAAUGCGUAGAUAUUAGGAAGAACACCAGUGGCGAAGGCGAUUUGCUGGACAGUAACUGACGCUGAUGCGCGAAAGUGUGGGGAGCAAACAGGAUUAGA